GAUGAACGCUGGCGGCGUGCCUAAUACAUGCCAGUCGAGCGAACAGACGAGGAGCUUGCUCCUCUGACGUUAGCGGCGGACGGGUGAGUAACACGUGGAUAACCUACCUAUAAGACUGGGAUAACUUCGGGAAACCGGAGCUAAUACCGGAUAAUAUAUUGAACCGCAUGGUUCAAUAGUGAAAGACGGUUUUGCUGUCACUUAUAGAUGGAUCCGCGCCGCAUUAGCUAGUUGGUAAGGUAACGGCUUACCAAGGCGACGAUGCGUAGCCGACCUGAGAGGGUGAUCGGCCACACUGGAACUGAGACACGGUCCAGACUCCUACGGGAGGCAGCAGUAGGGAAUCUUCCGCUAUGGGCGAAAGCCUGACGGAGCAACGCCGCGUGAGUGAUGAAGGUCUUCGGAUCGUAAAACUCUGUUAUUAGGGAAGAACAAAUGUGUAAGUAACUAUGCACGUCUUGACGGUACCUAAUCAGAAAGCCACGGCUAACUACGUG
rnacentral:rRNA from 1 species